AUUGAACGCUGGCGGCAGGCCUAACACCUGCAAGUCGAACGAGUGGCGGACGGGUGAGUAAUGUCUGGGAAACUGCCUGAUGGAGGGGGAUAACUACUGGAAACGGUAGCUAAUACCGCCUACCAUCGGAUGUUGCCAGAUGGGAUUAGCUAGUAGGUGGGGUAAAGGCUCACCUAGGCGACGAUCCCUAGCUGGUCUGAGAGUAUGACAAGCCAACCUGGAACUGAGACACGGUCCAGACUCCUACGGGAGGCAGCAGUGGGGAAUAUUGCACAAUGGGCGCAAGCCUGAUGCAGCCAUGCCGCGUGUAUGAAGAAGGCCUUCGGGUUGUAAAGGACUUUCAGCGGGGAGGCGUUACCCGCAGAAGAAGCACCGGCUAAAAAAGUGCCAGCAGCCGCGGUAAUAC
rnacentral:rRNA from 1 species